AAUUGAGAAUUUCUAUUUAUUUUUAAUCCUUGUUUUAAAAAUGUCGAAUUUGAUGAUCAUUUCUGGGUGUUCAGUGCAAAAAAUUGAAAACUAAAUUGAAACAAAAUGAUUUUGUUUCUGUCCAGCUUCCGGACAGCACUGUAGGUUUUGGAUAAAAAAAAUUUGGACUUCAAAAUUUAAAAUACAAAAAUCUUUCUCAAUACUUCCCACUAAACGCUUUUCCUUUGCUCUAAAAAAAUUCACCCCAUACUUGAUGUUGAAGCAGUUGUGCCUCAGGGGUUUGAAUUCAUUUUAGAGUUACAACUCUCCACAUCCAGGGUGCAUGAGUCAGCCCAGGCUAGGAGACAAUGCCAAAGACAAAGAAGAAGAUUACGCCAGCCUCCUGAUAGGCCAUAAGAGGCCAUCGGCACAUCUUUUUCAGUUUUACCUGUGAAGGUCAAGAAGAAGUUGAAUAUUAUAGUGAAAGUACAUGUAGCUGUGUGUCUUCAUCACCAUUUCUUUGAAUUUUAUUUAUGUGACAAGUUUUUUUGUAUAGUGCUAGCUUCUGGAGUGCUUAAAUUAUUUGUGUAUAACAAUUAAACAGACAUGCAGGUGUCAUAAAGGCAAUAAAUUUAAAGGCGUUACAUACAUUUUUAUUUACCAGUACAUGUGAAAGAGAAGUGAGGUGUUUGAAAAACUAUGCUACUUUGCAUGAAAAACUCACAGGACAUGUCUAUUUCUGUGAUUCAUCACCAUUUAUUUAUAUGACACGUAUAUUUUUGGAUUUAAAAGGGGUAGCUUCUUGAGUGCUUUAGUUUGUAUUACAUUUACACAUGCAGGUAUCACAUGUCAAUAUAUUGAAAGGGUUAUCGGGAUAUACGUGAUGAAUGUGUUGACAUUUUCUUUUAAGAGCAUCA